CAUCUGAUUUUCAGCCGUGACAUCAUCCAUUCAAGCCCUUGGCAUAACCUAAGAAGACAACAAAAACCAUGUGAUUCUAUUACGGACUAAAAUGUUACAGACUAUCCACUGUACUACAAUUUAAACAGUCUAUAUCAUUUUGCUUCUCACAGACUGACAGAAAUAAAUACUGACUAUAUUUUAAAUAA